CCCAAAUGGAUAAAGGGGCACAACUGUAUAAAAAAUAUUUUUUCUUAGUAGAAAGUGGUGCUGUCCAUAAAGAGUUAACAGCUCUAAAAGUUUGGCACAUAUAUGUGGGUAGAGGUUAGGCAUAGUUUAUAUAUGAAAAGUACAAAUGAUAUUAUAGAUAAUUAAGGAUUUUAGCAAAUACCUUUAUAAGAAUUCUGUUUUAUCAAACAAUAUGAAAUGCAGAGGAAAAAUCCCAAAUAGCUGUGUCUUUUACGCAAUUUUUAGUACCGUAGAAGUUCAGGAGGAAUUUUAAUGCCACAUACUUGCUACUAAGACCAGCGAAGGAUCAGAUAGGGUGGCACAUCCCUGUCAUCCUAGUGACUUGGGAGACUGAGGCUGGAGGAUCACAAGUUUUGGGCCAGUCUCUCGGUGAGACCUUGUCUCAUAAAAGGGAUGGGGUAGCUCAGUGGUAGAGUGACUCUGGAUUCAAUCCUUGGCACUCCCUACCCUCACCCCUCACCCCCUCAUCCCCCAAAAAAGAUCUGUGAUGUACAAGAAACUCAGACAUUAAAACAAAAACAAAAGCCAGGCUAUAUGACCUCUUAUACCAAGUCUCUCUGUUGUCUAGUUAGACCUAUGCUUGGCUUGGCAAGGCUCCUGAUAUAUUUUUAUUGUUUAUUGAUAAUCCUAUUGGUAAUUCUUGGUAAUAAUUUUAAUGGUCUUAAAUUAUUUUUCAGUUGUAGAUGGACACAAUACCUU
rnacentral:lncRNA from 1 species